rnacentral:rRNA from 1 species
UGCGUAGGUGGCAGGGUAAGUUUGAUGUGAAAUCUCCGGGCUUAACCCGGAAAUGGCAUUGAAUACUAUCCUGCUCGAGGGUUGGAGGGGGGACUGGAAUUCUCGGUGUAGCAGUGAAAUGCGUAGAUAUCGAGAGGAACACCAGUGGCGAAGGCGAGUCCCUGGACAACUCCUGACACUAAGGCACGAAAGCUAGGGGAGCAAACA